AGAGUUUGAUCCUGGCUCAGGACGAACGCUGGCGGCGUGCUUAACACAUGCAAGUCGAACGGGGAAUUUUAUCUCGGUAGAAUUCCUAGUGGCGAACGGGUGAGUAACGCGUAGGCAACCUGCCCUUCAGACGGGGACAACAUCCCGAAAGGGGUGCUAAUACCGGAUACGAAGCUCCUGCCGCAUGACGGGAGCUUGAAAGGCGCAAACAAGCGCCGCUGAGGGAUGGGCCUGCGUCCGAUUAGCUUGUUGGUGGGGUAACGGCCCACCAAGGCGACGAUCGGUAGCCGGUCUGAGAGGAUGAACGGCCACAUUGGGACUGAGACACGGCCCAGACUCCUACGGGAGGCAGCAGUGGGGAAUCUUCCGCAAUGGGCGAAAGCCUGACGGAGCAACGCCGCGUGAGUGAAGAAGUUCUUCGGAACGUAAAGCUCUGUUGUUCACGACGAACGGGGGGACCAGGAAAUGGGUUUCCAGUGACGGUAGUGAACGAGGAAGCCACGGCUAACUACGUGCCAGCAGCCGCGGU
rnacentral:rRNA from 1 species